GGACUCCGGCGCCUGGGGCGCCGACUGAUUGCGUAGCGGGCGGGGCCGGAAGUGCCGCUCCCUGGUGGGGGCUGUUCAUGGCGGUUCCGGGGUCUCCAACAAUUUUCCCGGUUGUGGUCCAAAUCUGUCCGAAGCGGAGGCAGUGGAGCUUGAGGUUCUUGCUGGUGUGAAAUGACUGAGUACAAACUGGUGGUGGUUGGAGCAGGUGGUGUUGGGAAAAGCGCACUGACAAUCCAGCUGAUCCAGAACCACUUUGUAGAUGAAUAUGAUCCCACCAUAGAGGAUUCUUACCGAAAACAGGUGGUUAUAGAUGGUGAAACCUGUCUGUUGGACAUACUGGAUACAGCUGGACAAGAGGAGUACAGUGCCAUGAGAGACCAAUACAUGAGGACAGGCGAAGGCUUCCUUUGUGUAUUUGCCAUCAAUAAUAGCAAAUCAUUUGCAGAUAUUAACCUCUACAGGGAACAGAUUAAGCGUGUAAAAGACUCAGAUGAUGUACCUAUGGUGCUAGUAGGAAACAAGUGUGAUUUGCCAACAAGGACAGUUGACACAAAACAAGCCCAUGAACUGGCCAAGAGUUAUGGGAUUCCAUUCAUUGAAACCUCAGCCAAGACCAGACAGGGUGUUGAAGAUGCCUUUUACACACUGGUAAGAGAAAUACGUCAGUACCGAAUGAAAAAACUCAACAGCAGUGAUGAUGGGACUCAAGGUUGUAUGGGAUUGCCAUGUGUAGUGAUGUAACAAGAUACUUUUAAAGUUCUAGCAUCAGAAAAGAGCCACCGUCAAGAUUCCAUCUUUAUUUCAGCUGCACUGACACCUUGGUCCUGACUUCCCUGGAGGAGAAGUAUUGCUGUUGCUAUCUUCAGUCUCACAAAGAAGCUCCUGUGAUUUCCCCAACUCUCAGUAGAUCAGUAUAAUAUUCUCUAUUUGAGAAGUUCUCAGAGUAACUACCUCCUCACUUGGUUGUCUGACCAGAGAAAUGAACCUCUUGUUACUCCCAGUAUUUCUCCACCCUGGGUUCUCCCCGAGCACACACAAACCAACCUCCACCACCCCAGGUUUUUCAUCUGAAAAGGAAUUAAUGCUCUGAAACAGAGAACCAAACUGUAGAAACAUGAAAUUCUGUAGAAAACAAUGUCUUGAGCUCUGAAGUAGCAACUGCUGGUGAUUUUUUUUUCCUUUUUACUGUUGAACUUGGAACUAUGUUGGUUUUUGGAGAAAUGUCAUAAAUUACUGUUUUGCUGAGAAUAUAGUUAAUGUUGCUGUUUGGUUUGUUUGUAAUGUUAUCAGCUAUAUUCUAUAAACUGGCAUCUGCUCUGUAUUCAGAAAUACAAAAGUGAAUACUGACUUUUUUGAGUCUAUCCUCGUCUUCUCGACUUUCUUGUAAUUAAAUCUGACUUUCACAAUGAAGUGCCUUUUUCCUGGAAGUGGUUUGUAGACUUCCUUUACAAUACUUCAGUGGAAUAGAUGUCUUAGAAACUGUUAUACAUGAAAAUGAUUGUGCGAGAUAUGUCUGUGACCCGUCUAGCUUUGAGGGAAAGAUAUACCAAUAUGAUAGCAGAUGCCAUUUCUUACAUGUAUGAAGUUGAUUUUCUAGAGACCUGUUUUGGGGCUCUCCCAAGAGAAAGGUGAGACUAUAAAUGAUUAGGGAUAAUUUUGCUUACUUUUUACCUAAUCUCCACUUUUUUUUUGUUUUGGUAGUUUACUACCUGCAAAAUGUAUAUAAUUUGUUUCUUCUAGCUUACUGAUAAUCUAAUGUUCAAUGAACUUCCAUUCAUAUUUAAAUUUGGGUCAUAUCAGAAAGUCUAUAUUUGCAGGUGUUCAAAAUUAUAAAAUUAGAUGCAGGUUUACUUAAUAGCUGUGAUCAAUGAUUCUCAAGCCUCAAAUAUGUUAAUAGACAAAUUUUCACUGCAUAUCAUGGUAAUUAUUCAUGUAUAUAAUUGCCCUCAGUCCCCUUCUCACUCCAUCCCCUGUCCUUCACCCCAUAGCAGUGGCUUGAUUAUUUCAGUUGAGUAAAGCGUGGUGCUAAUAGACCAGGGUCACAGUUUCAAAACUUCAGUGAGCCAGUUAGCAUCACAGAGAGAAAUUCUUCCACAUUUCCUCAUUGCACCAUUAAUUCCAGCUAGUAGUUUUGCCAGAUGCACGUGGUUAGGCCUGCAAGGAGAGAAGAGGUCAGUUAGCACAAAUUCUUAACCAUGACUGGAAAAACUUGUUAUCCUGAGAAGGGUCAGCUUAGAAGUCUUUAUAAAUAAAGGAUCUAGACUCUGUUUUUAGCUACAUGGAAACCAAAUUAAGCCAAUAUUUUUUCUCAUGUUUUUGAGAAUGAGGAUACCUCAGAUCAAAAUUUUUAAAUUUUUCUUUAUUCAUAAUGUUCUUUGAGGGUUUAAAACGGGAUGUUGAUUAAUUAGUCUGGGUAUACCAGAUAAGCUGAUGAGUUUGUUCUUGUUCUGAACAAGAAGUAGCCUUUGGAUUGGAAUUGCUGUUUGAGAAGGGAAUAGAGAAUAUAAUUAAUAGUUAUGAGGAUUUGGAGGCUUGGCUUUUCCAUUUGCAGAUAAUAUCCUGAUAAUUCUAAUGAGUAAUAGACUUGGAUAACUUUUGAUGAAAGAAUACUUCCAAAACGACCACUUCCUGUUCUCGUCUUCUAAUGUGUAAAUACUUACUGAGGUCCUCUUCUAAUACGAAUUUUCAUUUAUUAAGCAAAUUUCACAUUGCCUUGAAAUGAAUUCGGAAGAGAAGAAGAAACAUAAUGUACCCAGAGAAUGAAAAACCCAGAGAGUUGUGCUCCUUCGUGUUAAUUCUGAGAGCUUUCACAGUCCACGCCGGCUUCCACUCAAGAUUUAGUUUGAAGAUUCCAUAAGCAAAAGUUUAAACACCCCUUGACUUCGAUCUACUCCUACAACCAUCUGUCAAGCUGGGAAUCACUAUGCUGCAUCCUCAUGUCUAGUCCAGAACCCAAUACUCUAGGCACAAUCACGGUCAUUGCACAACUAAGCAAGAGUGAGGCUGUAAAUGACACCAUGGUUAAGAGCCCCGACACAGGAGCCAUAAUUCCUGGGCUUAAAUCCCAUCUCUACCACUUAAACAACUGUGAGACCUUGGGCAAGUCAGUCUCUGUACCUGAAUUUCUUCAACUGUAAAAUGGAGGUAAUAAUAGUUCCUCAAAAGACUGUUGUGAAAAUUAAAAGAAUUAAUAUAUGUUAAACAACAACAACAACCUUGGAACAGUGUUGAGCACUGUUAAUUAUUGCACAGACCCCACGGCAUGCCUCCCUCUCUCUCCUGACAGAAUGUAGUAUACUUUUGAUGUUUAGAUUGCUUUGUUAAAAGCAAAUUCCUGAAUUUUAGUUCCAUGCAAGAGGCAGGAAACAAAGUCAGUUUGUCUCACGGAAAAGGAUGAGUCUUACGAAGUUGACUUCUUUAUUUUUAGGCAUGUAUGGGAAAUUAUGACUGACAGGGAAAUGAAGCUAAAUACAGUAAAAUACCAUAAGAUUUCAGAAUUUGAUUAUAUUCCAAACUAAAACUCAUUUCUUAGGUUUAAGGUAACUUUUAUAUACCUCUAGCAGGGUGACAAACAUAGUCCAUAGUUGCUGCUGGCAAAAGGACUGUACUCCAAACCAGAGGUUGUAAUGAACUCAGAACUGCUGCCACUGAAGCAAUGUUACAAAGGGUUAAGCUCAUCCUGAAAGUUUACUACUGGUAGCCCCAAGCCCCAUAGAAUGCUUUGGCAUCUAAACCAUGAGUGACUGUGAGGGCAUGGAGGAGGGUGGGGUGAAGAGCAGGUUGGAAAGGGCUGGGCCCUCCCAGCAGGUUUCACAGCAGGGACAGAAACCUGCUAUAGUAGAAUAGAAGAAGGGCUUUCUGGACAAAAAAGCCAGGCAGCAGUGAUUGCCUGUGCACAGCUCAUUCCUGUUAAGUGUCUGUCAUCUCCUUCCUGUAGAGCCUCAGGUUACAGGUAUCUCUAACUUGAUAAAAUACAAUAAAUCUCCACUUUAAAAAAUAGUUUGUAAAUUUGUUAUUUGGAACUCUGAAUGUUUUCCAUUGGAAUAAUGUUCUAAAUGAUGGGAAGCAUCUGGGUAGGCUCCAACCAAUGUAGUCCAUAAUUUGGAUGAAAUAUUCACAUUAACAAUUUUUAAAAGACAUAGAAAAUAAUGAUUUUAGAAAAUAAUGAUUUUCUUUUGCCAAAAACUAAAGCAAAAAUAGAAUUAAAUGAGACUAGUUUAUAUACUGAUGCUUGAAGAAAAACCAAGUUUAAUUACAGAAAAAGAAUGAGUAGAUAGACUUGUCCCACUUAUAGACUUGUCCCAUUUAACUUCUGGACAUUUUUCCUUAAGGGCUGUAGAUGACAAUAGGACCAGAAUAUGUUUUGUUUUGCUUUAAAUUCAGUUUUUUAAUGACAAAAAUAAUACUUGUUCAUGGUAGAAAAUGCAAACAAGAAAAAAGAAAAAAGUAAAAUAUUGCCAUCAUUCCACUGCCCAGACAGAACGCUGGUAUAAGUUGUCCAGGCUGUUUUCAUCGUCUAUAUUGAUACAUAAAUUAAAUGCCUUUCUUUUUUUUUAAUGAAAACAAGAUUAUACUAUGUAUAUACAUCCUUGUAAAAUGCUUUUUCACUUAAUAAAAAUCUUUGAAUGUU